GACGAACGCUGGCGGCGUGCUUAACACAUGCAAGUGGAGCGACGAACCAGGGCUUGCCCUGGGGCAGAGCCGCGAACGGGUGAGUAACACGUGGGUAACGUGCCCCGAUGACUGGGACAACCCGGGGAAACCCGGGCUAAUACCGGAUGUGCCCCCUCACAUCAGUGAGGUGUGUAAAGGAAGCUUCGGCCUCCGCAUCGGGAUCGGCCCGCGGCCCAUUAGCUUGUUGGUGAGGUAACGGCGCACCAAGGCUGCGAUGGGUAGCUGGUCUGAGAGGACGAUCAGCCACACUGGGACUGAGACACGGCCCAGACUCCGACGGGAGGCAGCAGUGGGGAAUCUUGCGCAGUGCGCGAAAGCGUGACGCAGCAGCGCCGCGGGGGGGAAGACGGCCUGCGGGUUGUAAACCCCUUUCAGUUGGGACGAAGGUCGGGCGGUUAACAGCCGUUCCGGCUGACGGUACCUUCACAAGAAGCCCCGGCUAACUAC
rnacentral:rRNA from 1 species